rnacentral:rRNA from 1 species
UACGUAGGGUCCGAGCGUUGUCCGGAUUUAUUGGGCGUAAAGAGCUCGUAGGCGGCUCAGUAAGUCAGAUGUGAAAACUCAGGGAUCAACCCGGAGACGCCAUCUGAUACUGCUGUGGCUUGAGUCUGGUAGGGGAUCACGGAAUUCCUGGUGUAGCGGUGAAAUGCGCAGAUAUCAGGAGGAACACCGAUGGCGAAGGCAGUGAUCUGGGCCAAUACUGACGCUGAGGAGCGAAAGCGUGGGUAGCAAACAGG